rnacentral:rRNA from 1 species
GGGGAGGGGGCUUUUUUGUUCUGUAACUGACGCUGAGGCCGGAAAAGCUUGGGGAGCAAACGGGUUUUGAUCCCCUGGUGGUCCUCCCCGUAAACGAUGAGUGCUAAGUUUUAGAGGGUUUUCGCCCUUUAUUGCUGCAGCUAACGCAUUAAGCACUCCGCCUGGGGAGUACGGCCGCAAGGCUGAAACUCAAAGGAAUUGACGGGGGCCCGCACAAGCGGUGGAGCAUGUGUUUUAUUUCGAAGCAACGCGAAGAACCUUACCAGGUCUUGACAUCCUCUGACAACCCUAGAGAUAGGGCUUUUCCCUUCGGGGGACAGAGUGACAGGUGGUGCAUGGUCGUCGUCAGCUCGUGUCGUGAGAUGUUGGGUUAAGUCCCGCAACGAGCGCAACCCUUGAUCUUAGUUGCCAGCAUUCAGUGGGGCACUCUAAGGUGACUGCCGGUGACAAACCGGAGGAAGGGGGGGAUGAUGUCAAAUCAUCAUGCCCCUUAUGACCUGGGCUACACACGUGCUACAAUGGAUGGUACAAAGGGCUGCAAACCUGCGAAGGUAAGCGAAUCCCAUAAAGCCAUUCUCAGUUCGGAUUGCAGGCUGCAACUCGCCUGCAUGAAGCCGGAAUCGCUAGUAAUCGCGGAUCAGCAUGCCGCGGUGAAUACGUUCCCGGGCCUUGUACACACCGCCCGUCACACCACGAGAGUUUGUAACACCCGAAGUCGGUGAGGUAACCUUCAUGGA